rnacentral:rRNA from 1 species
GUCUAUGGCCAUGCCACACUGAAGGUGCCCAAUCUCGUCUGAACUCGGAAGUUAAGCAGGGUCAGGCCUGGUUAGUACUUGGAAUACCAGGUGCUGUAGGUG